rnacentral:rRNA from 1 species
GGAUCCUACGGGGCGCAGCAGUGAGGAAUAUUGGUCAAUGGGCGCGAGCCUGAACCAGCCAAGUCGCGUGAGGGAGGACGGCCCUACGGGUUGUAAACCUCUUUUGCCGGGGAGCAACGGGCGUCACGUGUGGCGCCACUGAGAGUACCCGGAGAAAAAGCAUCGGCUAACUCCGUGCCAGCAGCCGCGGUAAUACGUAGGUGGCAAGCGUUAUCCGGAUUUACUGGGUGUAAAGGGCGUGUAGGCGGGAUGGUAAGUCAGAUGUGAAAACUAUGGGCUCAACCCAUAGCCUGCAUUUGAAACUA